GGGGGCCCGAGGGAAGGCGCCGGCGGGAUAAAGCACCCUGGUCUGGCAGCUGGAGAAGGAGGCACCCAGGUCCUUGGGAAGGCGCCAGUGGGGGCCUCCAGUCCCUUUCCACGUCCUUCUAAAUCGACCAGGAGUGACCCCGGGCCGUGCCCUGCCUCGUCCGAUCCGAGGCAGCUCCCUUCUCCCCGCCUGUCGUGUUCUCCUGGGGUGAUCGCUGUCCCAUCUCCCCCGCAGGCGGCCCCGGGCCACGGCCCCGCACCGCCUGGACAAGGAGUUGUGUUUCUGGGGCAGCCGGGGCCCGGUCUUGCCGGCGCCCGCCGCCCGCCGCAGCCUGGGCGACUACUGGCUGAGCCCGCAGCGCCGCCACCCUCCGGGUGCCGCCUGGCGCUGGCCCGCACGCAACCUGUUACUGCUGCCCGGGGCCACCGGCCUGGCCGACGUGCCCUCAGCGCGCUGGCCAAGCUGCUACGGCGCGCGCCCGAGACUCACGUGGAAGCACCGAUGGCAGAAUAUUAACUACUAUUUUCUGGGCAAAAGGAAGAGACAUCUAGUUCCCUUGCACCCGUGAGAGCCGGUGAGGGGCGGGGCCACAGGGGGCGAGGUCGGUGGGCGGGGCCUCGUGGAGGGGCGGGUCUGGGCGGGGCCUAGCUAGAGGCGUGGGGAGGGGCGAGGCCCGAGCACGAGGUCGGCCAGCCUCAGCCUCGGCCUGCGAGGCUCCAGGGCACUGUGGGGGCCCCGAGUGCAGGGCGUGGUCUUUGCAGGGUUAUUUUUCCCUGCCCUUCUUGGGCCGACACAAACAUACGCGCGGUGGCUCAAGCCUGUAAUCCCAGCACUUUGGGAGGCCGAGACGGGCGGAUCACGAGGUCAGGAGAUCGAGACCAUCCUGGCUAACACGGUGAAACCCCAUCUCUACUAAAAAAUACAAAAAACUAGCCGGGCGAGGUGGCGGGCGCCUGUAGUCCCAGCUACUGGGGAGGCUGAGGCAGGAGAAUGGCGUAAACCCGGGAGGCAGAGCUUGCAGUGAGCCGAGAUCCGGCCACUGCACUCCAGCCUGGGCGACAGAGCGAGACUCCGUCUCAAAAAAAAAAAAAAAAAA
rnacentral:lncRNA from 1 species